rnacentral:rRNA from 1 species
CAAUAGCGUAUAUUAAAGUUGUUGCAGUUAAAAAGCUCGUAGUUGGAUUUCGGGGCAGCCUGGCUGGUCCGCCGCAAGGCGAGUACUGGUCAGCCGCCCUUCCUCUCGAAGGCCCCGACUGCUCUUCAUUGCAGUGGUCGGGUAGUUCGGGACGUUUACUUUGAAAAAAUUAGAGUGUUCAAGGCAGGCCUACGCCUGAAUACAUUAGCAUGGAAUAAUGGAAGAGGACCUCGGUCCUAUUUUGUUGGUUUCCAGGGCCGAAGUAAUGAUUAAGAGGGACAGUUGGGGGCAUUCGUAUUUAAUUGUCAGAGGUGAAAUUCUCGGAUUUAUGAAAGACGAACAACUGCGAAAGCAUUUGCCAAGGAUGUUUUCAUUAA